CACAAUUCAGAACUCAACACACCCUUUGCACUUCCUUCCUGUACAGACAUGUUAUUAUCCACGAGUUCCAGUUUUGUUACCCCUGGAGGCUGCUUAAACAAGUAGACCUAAUGCAUUCUCUAUUUCUUCCACAAGAGAAAAUGUGAGCUACACAGAGUAAGACAGAGUCAGAGAAAAGAGAAAGAAUUAUUCAAUCAAAAUAUCAUUUCAGUACUGCUAAGUCCUUGAUUAGAAUU
rnacentral:lncRNA from 10 species